AACGACGGCGCAGUAUCCUAGUCAGAUCUGCCGCUUCUGAAGAAGGGCCUAAAAAUCCUUUUAAGGGCACAACUGUGAAACUCUUGGUGCUUGCUUCUUACGCCCAGUUUGGGGUGGGUGCUGAGAGGAAGUACGGACCCCCGUGCUUGCGGAUCCAGGGCGUUCUCCAAUGGCAUGGAGAAGCCGACCCUGUUUUCGUGGAGACCUGUUUCCGUGCGCAGGCGUACUCCCAUCAGUGGUACUUUCGACCUGUGUACGACUCAGGCUGGAACCUGUAUUGCGGUGCUACCCGGCCAUAGAGCCGUGAACGCUGUGUGCAGAGUAGCCUGCCUUGCGUGGGUAUGGCGGAUAGGAGAUCACCCGGACCUUUCCCCGGCCAGGGAAAGGCUGUGGAUCGCUCCUUGAAACCAUGGCUGCAAAAGAGGCUAGGAAGCGGUUUGACUGUAGUGGAAAACACCUAGGCUGUCCCUGUCGGGCAAGGGAAGGAUUGCAGUGCGGACUAAGUGGCAGUCGGGUACCGCGGUGGGCAACGCCGCGGCGGAGCGCUGAAAGGGAAACCACCUGAUCGGCAACGAGAGGCGCGUUCCGGGGAAAUCCAACCCGUACCUAAGCCGUAAGAUUUACUUUUCUUGCUGCCGGC
rnacentral:sRNA from 1 species